GAGAAGAGGUGCUCGGAGGAAAGGGUGGGGGCUGCUGAUGUAAUGGGGAGAAGUGAUUAAUCCUUCGGUUCGCCGUUUGAGCCUCCCCCCCACACCCGAUUUUUUAAGCAGAAAAAAAAAAGUGGAGCGAGGGAGCCGAUCUUUGGUAAUUUGGUUUUCUGUGGUAGGUAGGUUCAAAGUCUGAGCUGUAGGGAGCGCUAGAGAUUCUGUGCCCUUUAGCCAAGCUGAGGGUAUGUGCAAACCUUGGAGAUCCAGUUUACGGAGCUUUGAGCUUGAUAACUGAAGUUUGGAGUCGGUUCCUAACCGUCGUCUAAAAGGAGUCAUCUAAGUCUUGAAAAGGUUUUUUGUUCCCAACUCUGUGGGUCUGGCAGGCCAACUCUGUCCUGGCACCUGGUCAGAUUGGUUAUGGAUUAUUUUCGUCGACACAACAAGUGCUGUUCUAUGUGCUGAGAAUAUAGUAGACAACAAGACAAAGCCCGUAACUUUGUGGAGCUCACAUUGUAACUGAAGGAGAUAAAAAAACAAAUGAACUCAAAACAUAGUAUGUCAGAUGGUAUUAAGUGCUAUGGAAAAAAUAAAGCAAAGCAAGAGAUAGGCAACUCAGGGCAGGAGUUACCAUUUUAUUAAUCUGUUGGCAGUCAGGAAGCCUUUACAAUCAGGGCACAUUUGAG
rnacentral:lncRNA from 1 species